GAAACUGGAAAAGAAAGAAUGGAGAACCUGGCUCCUUUGAUGACAUUUCUGUGUUUGUCAUUCCUCUGGUACAUUCAUAGCGAAACAUGGAGAUAAAAUACCAGAUUGUAUGGACAUGGUGAAUCAAAAAGUGUUCAGACACAAGUUAAAUUGUGAACGUAGGUCAGUGAUCAUGGCGUUACUUACAGAAAUGGUGUCAAUUAAAUGUUAAAGCUGGCAGUUAGAAAAAUGGUGACAAAUAUUAAAGCUGGCGUUGAGAAAAAUGGCAGAAAAAAAUAUGAAUGGUUGUGUAAUGUUGAAUUGAGAUGACUUUUCCAAAGGGAGAUUUGGAUUUAUAUCUUGAACCUACAUACCAAAGAAACUCUGGAUUUUUACAUGAUUGUGCACAUGUGUGAAACUUGUUUGAUAGAAAUGUGAAGGGUCUAUUAGUUUUUCUAUCUGGCUGUUAAAAUGUGAACACAUUGCCGUGUUUUUUGCACUAGAGAUAUGGCCACAAAAGCAUGUUUUAUGGUUGUUUUAGAAAUGUGAACACACAAUUUAGAUUGUUCAGUGGAAAUGUAACUUGUUACUUAAUUGUUAAUUAUCAGAGAUUAUCUGGUAGCCAUACUCUGUUGAUGAUUUUGUUUACAUUCCAUUUAAAUUUAAAGAAAAACCUGAAAAUAUUCAUUUACUAGUGUUUGUGUGAACAUUGGUAUCAUUUGCUACAUAUACUAAGAUGAAUUCAAUAAAUUGACAUCAAUAAUU
rnacentral:misc_RNA from 1 species